rnacentral:rRNA from 1 species
CCCGGGGGCAUUGGCCUCAGUAACGGCGAGUGAAGCGGCAAGAGCUCAACUUUGGAAUCGCUCCGGCGAGUUGUAGUCUGGAGGUGGCCACCACGAGGUGUUCUAGCAGCAGGCAAGUCCUUUGGAACAAGGCGCCAGCGAGGGUGACAGCCCCGUACCUGCUUUUGCUAGUGCUUCCUGUGGCCCACCGACGAGUCGAGUUGUUUGGGAAUGCAGCUCUAAGUGGGUGGUAAAUUCCAUCUAAGGCUAAAUAUUGGCGAGAGACCGAUAGCGAACAAGUACAGUGAUGGAAAGAUGAAAAGCACUUUGAAAAGAGAGUGAAACAGUACGUGAAAUUGUUGAAAGGGAAGGGCUUGCACCCAGACACGGUUUCGGCCGGGCCAGCAUCAAGUAGAACGGGGUUAAAAGACUUGGGGAAUGUAGCUACUUCGGUAGUGUUAUAGCCCUUGGUGAUGACCCCUGUUUUGCUUGAGGACAGCGGUCUCUAGGAUGCUGGCGCAAUGGUUGCAAGCCACCCGUCUUGAAACACGGACC